AGUCAGACACUCAAGACGGAAGAUAAACCAAUAUUCGUCAUCUCCGUGAAAUAGAUUAAGUAGAUAAAUAAAGCAAUUAUCGAAAAAUUAACAAGUGAGCUUUGUUGGUGGAAUUAUUUAUACAGAGAUGUUCAAAGUAGCUGAAACUGACUUAUUUGACAGCUGAAAAUGACCAAAGUCUAUGAUAAAGUCUUCUAGCGUUAGAAAAAAUUAACGAAAAAUAACAAUUCGUUUGCGAGUUUGCGACUCGCAAAGAGGGCCUAAUUGAUUACGCAGACACAGAGUUCAAAGCCAGUAGAUUAUUAGUAAUUAAUCGUAAUUAAUCUACGAAAAUAGGUGAAUUGUAGGGUACCUAGGCAUAAUCAUGUCGCAGCGGACUAAAGUCCAACUCGUCAAGACUGUCUGUUGUGUAGCAGUGAAGCUAGAUGAGUGUGAGCGCAAAGAUUAGGAAUUAGGAUGGAGCAGCAGAACGUCACUCUUCUGUCAUCGUCAUAAAAACGAAAUAAUUUUUUUUUCUGUCAUCGUCAUAAAAACUAAAAAAAUCGCCGUCUUUUUGCAACACCUCCAAAUAAAAAUAAAUGGCAAACGUCAUCGGUUUGUUUAGCAGACGAAAAAAAACGUGAUUGUUUCGUAACAUAACAAACAAAUGUGUGAAAAUUGUUUUCAGAUUUAAAUGCAUCUGUUUUCUGUCCGGUAAUAAUGUAUGUCUGCUCCUUGGGAUGGCGGAGCGUCAGCUGUUCUAGGCAAGGAAAUAAUGGCAGACUUUGGAUUGGAAUACCUAGCAGAUUUCUAUCUUCCAAAAAAAGUCAACCUCCAGUAAAUCACUACAGAGUGCUCGGCAUAUCUUCAAAAGCAACACAAGCGGAAAUUAAAGCUUCAUUUUACAAAUUGUCAAAACUUUUCCAUCCCGAUGUCAGUGAUCAAAGUGAAGAGACUGCCACAAAAUUUAGACAAAUUACAGCAGCCUAUGAGAUUCUUGGCAAUUUGAAAUUAAGGAAAAUGUAUGAUAGAGGACUUUUGCCACAUCAUGAAAAUGUUUACCCUGGAGUUGAAGUUGAUUAUAAUGAGCCUGAAGUGAAAUCUCCAUAUAAGAAAACAGGAAAACAGCCAGCAACUGGUAGAACUACUAUUUAUGACUUUGAUGCAUGGUCUAGAAUGCAUUACGGAACUGCAAUGAACCGCAAAGCAGCAGCCAAGGGAAAGUGGCAUUCUCAAAACAAUGCAAGAGAAGAAAUUAAUGAAAAUGCUAAAUCAGAUCAUACUAUUGGAUUGGUUUUGAUAGGUAUCACAAUUGUGGCAUUACUUCACAUAGCAGCCCAACCCAACUAUGAUGUACCAAAUGAUAACAAGAAAUGAUUCAUUUUGUUGUGUUUGUGUACAGUUACAUCCUUGUUAAUAUGUAGGCUUUCUAAUACAAUGGAAAGAAAAACAUAA